GACGAACGCUGGCGGCGUGCCUAAUACAUGCAAGUCGAACGCAUUUUCUUUCACCGUAGCUUGCUACACCGAAAGAAAAUGAGUGGCGAACGGGUGAGUAACACGUGGGUAACCUGCCCAUCAGCGGGGGAUAACACUUGGAAACAGGUGCUAAUACCGCAUAAUUCCAUUUACCGCAUGGUAAAUGGAUGAAAGGCGCUUUUGCGUCACUGAUGGAUGGACCCGCGGUGCAUUAGCUAGUUGGUGGGGUAACGGCCUACCAAGGCUGCGAUGCAUAGCCGACCUGAGAGGGUGAUCGGCCACACUGGGACUGAGACACGGCCCAGACUCCUACGGGAGGCAGCAGUAGGGAAUCUUCGGCAAUGGACGCAAGUCUGACCGAGCAGCGCCGCGUGAGUGAAGAAGGUUUUCGGAUUGUAAAACUCUGUUGUUAGAGAAGAACAAGGAUGAGAGUGGAAAGUUCAUCCCUUGACGGUAUCUAACCAGAAAGCCACGGCUAACUACGUG
rnacentral:rRNA from 1 species